AGUAAACUGACAAUAUGUUCUACCUUCAAGAGAACAAAGGAGUGUUUUGGAGGAGCGGAGAACGGCUGCGUCACAAAGGCUCCAAAGUCUUGUUGCUCAAAUCCAGGAGGCCAAGGAGCUGAAGUCUGGUGAGGGUGGAGCACAACCUUCAAAGCGUGCCCCUAAAAGAAGACCAAG